GUCAGCUAAUAAUCCCAAUGGCCUUUAAAAUGUAAUCCCAGGUAAUUCUGUGAAGAUGCUAAUUUGAGCAAUUUUCAAGAAGGAUUGGAGAAGAGAAGUAUUUCCUAAUGGGAAUGCAUUAGAAUCUCAAGAGAACAGUGUGCUUUGCUACUGGAGAAUCAGACUACCAAAACAACAAGACACGUGUAGAAGAGCAUUCUAGUCUCCGUGGCAAAAUGCUGAGAGUGGAGCAAGCAGAAGUGCGCCUGUGGAGAAGGGCUGCAGCCGGCCCAACCCCUAGCAAGCAGAGCCCUGGAGUCAGUCCUGCCUGCACAACCUCACUAGUGCUGCAGCAAGGUCACUGUCUGCAAGCAAAACUGAUCAAGUGAGAGGGAAAAAAGGGGGGAUUACAAGAACAUUAGCUCCAAAAGGGUAUGGUUCCUGCAUAUCUUGUUUACCACUGUGUCCCAGCAGAUAGAAAAAUGCCUGGGUUAAACGAAACACAGGUCUUUCAAAUCAACCUACAUGAGUUAUAUUAAG